rnacentral:lncRNA from 1 species
GGUUCACCUGGGCCUACUGCUCAUGCCUGUCUAGACUUCUCUGGAUGGCAUCCCAUCCCUCACGUGUGUCCACCACACCACACAGCUUGGAGUUAUCCACCCAAGGCUCUGCAAGUCUUCGCACAUAAUCCUGCUCCUCCCCUGCACAUCCCGUGUUUCCACUUGUAGGUUGAUAAAGGAAGCACUGCACAUCUUCUACUGAGCCACCAAGAACGUGUGUGGAGCCCAGCAAAGACUUCUACUGUGAGACAUUAAUGAUUUAUUCAUGAUCCUAUGCGCACUUGCAAAUCAGGCAGCAGUUUCAAGCAGAACUGAUGGCAUGGCUGUUUCUUGUGUGCUCGCCUCCAAGGGAGGAAUCUCUGCUGCUCUUAUGCUAUGUGGUCCAGGUUUGUUCCUGAAAAGAGCAGAAAUUGUGCUCCUAGUGAAGAAAACCAGAAGGCUUGGCAGAACUUCACUCUCUGAGACUCUGUUCUUGCUCUGAUUCCCAGGUGGGGAAGUCACAGGUUUGUGCUGAAGUGUUUUUCAGUAGCUUUCACCCCAGCCCGGAAACGAAAUCUCUGCUUGUUCCCCUGGUGAGGAACCAGCAAUUCCCAAUGGCCCAGGCAUUUAAAGAGCAUGACAGCCAGAUCUGGAAGUAAACAUCAUAGUCUUGGCUCUCCUCAAACUCAAAAACUGUUUACUUGAAUCUAAAUUCUAAUACCUGUCACAGGAGUGAGCCACUAUCCAGGAAGAUGUUAAAUGAUGCACUUAAGAUAAUUGAGCAACUAACUGGCUGCUGGGAGGUGAUGAGGAUCCUUCUGAAACAUCACUCUGCUGUAGGGUACCAGGAUGCAAUGCUGUUUGCAAGGCACUUCAGAGAAACCAGCUAAUUAACACCUCCAUCACCACUAUCGCAGACCCAUCUCCUUGACGUCUCCUUGAAACCAGCUGGAAUCCAUUGGACAGCCCCUGGCUUGUUCACAGAUGAGCUGGAACAAACUCCAGAGAUCGUUGUAACCAGAUCAAAUGCAAAGUCACACAGUCAGACUGACCAGCCCAGGGAAGGGUUCAUCUGCAGAACUGCGUGGUCCAGGCCUGGCCUAUGGUAAUCUGUCAACAUACAGACAGUGCUACC